rnacentral:rRNA from 1 species
UACAGAGGUCCCAAGCGUUGUUCGGAUUCAUUGGGCGUAAAGGGUGUGUAGGUGGCGCCGUAAGUCGGGUGUGAAAUUUCGGAGCUUAACUCCGAACCUGCAUUCGAUACUGCGGUGCUUGAGGACUUGGAGAGGAGACUGGAAUUCAUGGUGUAGCAGUGAAAUGCGUAGAGAUCAUGAGGAAGACCAGUGGCGAAGGCGGGUCUCUGGACAGUUCCUGACACUGAGACACGAAGGCCAGGGGAGCAAACGGG